rnacentral:rRNA from 1 species
GAUAAUGUACCGGGGCUAAGCAUAUUACCGAAACUGUGGAUGCGUAAGCAUGGUAGGAUAGCGUAAUUAACGCGAUGAAGGAUGACCGUAAGGACAUGUUGGAGCGUUAACUAGUGAGAAUUCCGGUAUGAGUAGCGAAAGAUAGGUGAGAAUCCUAUCCACCGAAUGAGUAAGGUUUCCCCCGGAAGGCUCGUCCGCGGGGGGUUAGUCGGGACCUAAGGCGAGGCUGAAAAGCGUAGUCGAUGGACAACAGGUUGAUAUUCCUGUACCGAUAUUU